UGUUCGGCUGUUUGUAUGUUUUUUUUUUUUUUGUAUGUUUGUUCAUCGAAUACUCCGUCAAUUGUCGACGGAUUUUCAAAAUUCUUUUUUUGUUCGAAAGUAGAUAGUUCUGAGGUGGUCCCAUUGUCACCAAGUUAGGAUCUGAUGAUGGAAUCUUAGAGAAAUCGAGGGAACUCCUCAAAUAUUAUAGGGAACUAUAUAGUGAUUUUGGUAUAUUCAUCUAGAAUUGAAGCAUUUACAGUCAAAAAGUAACCUUUGAAGAGGUGGAACUGAUGAAGAAGACCAGAAAUGGCCAAUGGAACUUCAUACUCACAUAGAAAUCACAAUAAAGUUAAUCAAUACUCCGUCAAUUGUCGACGGAUUUUCACAAUUCUUUUUUUGUUCGAAAGUAGAUAGUUCUGAGGUGGUCCCAUUGUCACCAAGUUAGGAUCUGAUGAUGGGAUCUUAGAGAAAUCGAGGGAACUCCUCAAAUAUUAUAGGGAACUAUAUAGUGAUUUUGGUAUAUUCAUCUAGAAUUGAAGCAUUUACAGUCAAAAAGUAACCUUUGAAGAGAUGGAACUGAUGAAGAAGACCAGAAAUGGCCAAUGGAACUUCAUACUCACAUAGAAAUCACAAUAAAGUUAAUUAAGUGACUGUGACAAUACAAAUAAAUAAAGUAGUUAUUGAGAUAGAGAAUUUUAGCCGACUUUUUUAGUUGCGAUACUGAGUAUCGCACCUAAAAAGUGUGAAAUAAAAUACUUUUUACAAAAAAAUAAACCGACUUCACUAAAAAAGUUAAAAAUAACUUUAAUUUCGGAAGUCGGUGUAGCAAACAAAUAAUACCGAGAAACACCGACUUUCGAAAUUAAAGUUAUUUUUAACUUUUUUAGUGAAGUCGGUUUAUUUUUUUAACAUGAACAUUCCACAGCUGCUGAUCACAAUUUGGGUCGGUUCCAGCAGUACUAAACAUGACGACAUAAAGUCCAAAAUACUAAUAUGAAAUAUCUAUGUAUUUCGCUAAUGAUCAUCACCGACAAUAAACUUAUAACUUUAACAAUAAAUUUCUAGUAAUCUAUGUUUAAAAAAUCGACCUUCAACCUCCUCUUUUUAAAGUCGGUUAAUAUACUAAAACCUGCUUCUAAGUGUUAAACACUUUUCUGAAAUUCGCAUCAAAAUCGGUUCGGCCAAUCGUGACAUAUUCGCGCGCAAACAUACAUACAUAUCAAAUAGAGAACCUCCUUCUUUUUUGAAGUCGGUUAAAAAUUUCGUGUUCAAGUCCUUCUUCUACAUUGCUUUGCAUUGAGCAGUUUUCUGCUCACACAUUUUAAGUUUAUUACUUUUUUAUGUAGGCAGAUUACAAUAGUUUGUUGCCACAGAGUCACACAUUAUAUAAUUGUAAUAGUUCUACUGUGAAGCGGCUCGUUGAUUUCUCUUUACUUUCUAACAUUAAAUAGCUAAAGCGAGCAAAAUUAUAAAAAUGCUAAUUGAUUUUCGGCGCUCAAAUUUAUUUAGUAGAGCGUACUGGCUUCCAGUUGAUGUCAUAGUUUGCGGUAAGGUCAAUGAACUUGCAAUGAACAUUGUCUACGAUUAAUAAUUCAUGUUGUAAUGGCGACUGCCCGCGACUACAUUUAAUGUGCUCACUUUUUUCAAUCAUUACUGAAGAUUAAUUUAUAAGAAUAAAUCCUUCCUAAAUAAGAAUAAAACGUCCAGUUUAAUACUGGUACCGUAUGUAACGUACAUUUUAUGAAAAGGCGUGAAACUGAUACCGUAUUUAUCGAUUUGACACUGACAUAGUUAUGUAAAAAGAUCAUGUAGUUAUAUAGGCACUUUUAUUUGAAGUGUUAUGAGUCACCACUGUACCAGCAAGAGA